GCGGCGGUAGUCGAAGGCGGGCCGUGGCAGCGGAUUAUCAGUUCGCCAUUGCAGCGUUGUGCGCGCUUCGCCGCC
rnacentral:tRNA from 1 species